rnacentral:rRNA from 1 species
AUUGAACGCUGGCGGGAUGCUUUACACAUGCAAGUCGAACGAGCAUCGACUUCGGUCUGGUGGCGAGUGGCGAACGGGUGAGUAAUGUAUCGGAACGUGCCUAGUAGCGGGGAUAACGCCACAAGAAAGCGUAGCUGAUUACCGGGUGCAUACGCCCUUCGGGGAAAGCGGGGACCUUCGCCUGCACUAUUAGAGCGGCCGAUAUCGGAUUAGCUAGUUGGUGGGGUAACGGCUCACCAAGGCGACGAUCCGUAGCUGGUUUGAGAGGACGACCAGCCACAUCGGGAUUCGAGACACGGCCUAGACUCUACGGGAGGCAGCAGUGGGAAUUUUGGACAAUGGGGAACUCGGAUCCAGCCAUCCCGCGUGUGCGAUGAAGGCCUUCGAAGUUGUAAAGCACUUUUGGCAGGGAGAAGUCGAAACGGCACGGGAUAAUACCCUCGUGCAACUGACGGUACCUGUGGCAGAAUAAGCAACUGGCCAACUACGCGCCAGCAGCCGCGGUAAUGAUGUAGGUGUGGCGUUAAUCGGAAUUACUGGGCGUAAAGUGCGCAGGCGGUUCGGAAAGAAAGAUGAAAUCCCAGAGCUUAACUUUGGAACUGCAUUUUUAACUACCGAGCGAGAGUGUGUCAGAGGGAGGUGGAAUUUCGCGUAGCAGUGAAAUGCGUAGAUAUGCGAGAACACCGAUGGCGAAGGCAGCCUCCUGGAGAAUAAUUGACGUUUCAUACCGAAAGCGGGAGCAAACAGGAUUAGAUACCCUGGUAGUCCACGCCCUAAACGAUGUCAACUAGCUGUUAGCCUCUGGCCUGGUAGCGCGGCUAACGCGUGAAGUUGACCGCCUGGGGAGUACGGUCGCAAGAUUAAAACUCAAAGGAAUUGACGGGGACUCCGCGUACAAGCGGUGGAUGAUGAUUAAUUCGAUGCAAUCAUGAAAACUUACCUACCCUUGACAUGUCUGGAAUCCCGAAGAGAUUUGGGGAGUGCUCGCAAGAGAACCGAACACAGGUGCUGCAUGGCUGUCGUCAGCUCGUGUCGUGAGAUGUUGGGUUAAGUCCCGCAACGAGCGCAACCCUGUCAUUAGUUGCUACGAAAGGGCACUCUCAUCGAGACUGCCGGUGACAAACCGGAGGAAGGUGGGGAUGACGUCAAGUCCUCAUGGCCCUAUGGAUAGGGCUUCACACGUCAUACAAUGGUCGGGACAGAGGGUCGCCAACCCGCGAGGGGGAGCCAAUCCCAGAAACCCGAUCAGAACCGAUCGUGCCCGCAACUCGACUGCGUGAAGUCGGAAUCGCUAGUAAUCGCGGAUCAGCAUGUCGCGGUGAAUACGUUCCCGGGUCUUGUACACACCGCCCGUCACGCCAUGGGAGUGGGUUUUACCAGAAGUAGUUAGCCUAACCGUAAGGAGGGCGAUUACCACGGUAGGAUUCAUGACUGGGGUGAAGUCGCAACAAAGGCAA